ACCCGCACAAGCAGCGGAGCAUGUGGUUUAAUUCGAAGCAACGCGAAGAACCUUACCAGGGCUUGACAUCCCUCUGACCGGACCGUAAUGGGUCCUUCCCUUCGGGGCAGAGGAGACAGGUGGUGCAUGGUUGUCGUCAGCUCGUGUCGUGAGAUGUUGGGUUAAGUCCCGCAACGAGCGCAACCCUUGUCAUUAGUUGCCAGCAGUUCGGCUGGGCACUCUAGUGAGACUGCCGGGGAUAACUCGGAGGAAGGUGGGGAUGACGUCAAAUCAUCAUGCCCCUUAUGUUCUGGGCUACACACGUGCUACAAUGGCUGGUACAAAGAGAAGCAAGACGGUGACGUGGAGCAAAUCUCAAAAACCAGUCCCAGUUCGGAUUGUAGGCUGCAACUCGCCUACAUGAAGUUGGAGUUGCCAGUAAUCGCGGAUCAGCACGCCGCGGCGAAUACGUUCCCGGGCCUU
rnacentral:rRNA from 2 species